GUCCCUACGGGAGGCAGCAGUGGGGAAUAUUGCACAAUGGGGGAAACCCUGAUGCAGCAACGCCGCGUGAGUGAAGAAGUAUCUCGGUAUGUAAAGCUCUAUCAGCAGGGAAGAAAAUGACGGUACCUGACUAAGAAGCCCCGGCUAACUACGUGCCAGCAGCCGCGGUAAUACGUAGGGGGCAAGCGUUAUCCGGAUUUACUGGGUGUAAAGGGAGCGUAGACGGUGUGGCAAGUCUGAAGUG
rnacentral:rRNA from 1 species